AGUUGUGGCAAGUUUUUCGGUGCUUUAGUAUAGAAAUAUAGCUAAAGGUAAAAGGGAAUCAGGUGAGAAUCCUGAGCGAUCCGGUCACUGUAAACAAGGAGUUUCUUUUCAUUAUCCAUUGUGCGAUACGCAUGAGAAGGAGAAGAGGAGCGAUGAUCUGUAAGCCAGGAAACCUGCUGAGAAAUCCAAUGUAGC
rnacentral:ncRNA from 2 species